rnacentral:rRNA from 1 species
UACGGGGGAUGCAAGCGUUAUCCGGAAUUAUUGGGCGUAAAGGGUCCUGAGGUGGCUAGCCAAGUCUAUUGUGAAAUAUCAGGGCUUAACCCUGAACAUGCGGUGGAAGCUAGAAAGCUUGAGUACAGUAGGGGCGGAGGGAAUUUCCGGUGGAGCGGUGAAAUGCAUAGAUAUCGGGAAGAACACCAACGGCGAAAGCACUCCGCUGGGCUGAUACUGACACUGACAGACGAAAGCUAGGGUAGCGAAAGGG